AGAGAUUGAACUGAAGAGUUUGAUCCUGGCUCAGAUUGAACGCUGGCGGCAUGCUUUACACAUGCAAGUCGAACGGUA
rnacentral:rRNA from 1 species